UACCAGCUCUCCGAGUUGUAGGGAUGAUUAUUGGGCUUAAAGCGUUCGUAGCUGGCUUAGCAAGUCUCCUGUUAAAUUCAGCGACCUAAUCGUUGAGCCGCGGGAGAUACUACUAGGCUAGGAGGCGGGAGAGGUCAACGGUACUUUCGGGGUAGGGGUGAAAUCCUAUAAUCCCGGGAGGACCACCAGUGGCGAAGGCUGUUGACUAGAACGCGCUCGACGGUGAGGGACGAAAGCUGGGGGAGCGAACCGGAUUAGAUACCCGGGUAGUCCCAGCUGUAAACUAUGCGGGCUAGGGUGUUGGGGGUGGCUACGGGCCACUUCAGUGCCGCAGGAAAGCCAUUAAGCCCGCCGCCUGGGGAGUACGGCCGCAAGGCUGAAACUUAAAGGAAUUGGCGGGGGAGCACCACAAGGCGUGAAGCUUGCGGUUC
rnacentral:rRNA from 1 species